rnacentral:rRNA from 1 species
UACGAGAGGCCCAAACGUUAUUCGGAAUUACUGGGCUUAAAGAGUUCGUAGGCGGCAUUGCAAGUUGGGUGUGAAAGCCCUCGGCUUAACCGAGGAAGUGCGCCCAAAACUACUUGGCUUGAGUACCGGAGAGGAUGGCGGAAUUCCCGGUGUAGAGGUGAAAUUCGUAGAUAUCGGGAGGAACACCAGUGGCGAAGGCGGCCAUCUGGACGGAUACUGACGCUGAGACGCGAAAGCGUGGGGAGCAAACAGG